UUCAUACUUGUGAAUGAAUGGUUAAGUGUUCUCUAAAGAAUGACUUAAACAAAUUGAAAUCUUCACCGACAUUUGACUAACUCCUUAUUAAUGUUGAUUUAUUUUCAAGUCAUUUACUUAAUGCAAAUCUAAAUUUCAGUACCUUUAUCAUUCAUUGCCAUUUAUAUUUCAUACAAGAUUUUUAUGUUUCAGUCCUUUUCAC
rnacentral:lncRNA from 1 species